GUGCGAAAGCGUGGGGAGCAAACAGGAUUAAAUACCCUGGUAGUCCACGCUGUAAACGAUGUCUACUACCCGUCGGGGUCCUUAGUGACUUUGGUGGCGCAGCUAACGCGAUAAGUAGACCGCCUGGGGAGUACGGCCGCAAGGUUAAAACUCAAAUGAAUUGACGGGGGCCCGCACAAGCGGUGGAGCAUGUGGUUUAAUUCGAUGCAACGCGAAGAACCUUACCAGGUCUUGACAUCCUCGGAACUUGGCAAAGAUGCCUUGGUGCCUUCGGGAGCCGAGUGACAGGUGCUGCAUGGCCGUCGUCAGCUCGUGUCGUGAGAUGUUGGGUUAAGUCCCGUAACGAGCGCAACCCUUGUCCUUAGUUGCCAGCACGUCAUGGUGGGAACUCUAGGGAGACUGCCGGUGACAAACCGGAGGAAGGUGGGGACGACGUCAGGUCAUCAUGGGCCCUUUACGACCUGGGGCUACACACGUGCUACAAUGGCUGGGUACAGAGGGUUGCGAAAUCGCGAGGCGAAGCUAAUCCCUUUAAAGCCAUUCGUAUCCGGAUCGGAGUCUGCAACUCGACUCCCGUGAAGUCGGAAUCGCUAGUAAUCGCGGAUCAGAUUGCCGCGGUGAAUACGUUCCCGGGCCUUGUACACACCGCCCGUCACACCAUGGGAGUGGAUUGCA
rnacentral:rRNA from 1 species